rnacentral:rRNA from 1 species
AUGAGAAGGAAACCCAACAAAAAAAGGGUGAAUCAGAGUCUGGAAAAUACAAUGAACCCACUGACUAUAAUGCCGGUCGGGAAUCAAUUGGGACCCUGGGUGAAAAAAAUGGUAGACUUACAUGGAGCUGAGGUUACAGAGAAGGAGGGAGAGGAGAAAGAAGUGGAGAUAAAAAGAAGCCUCGGGAACAAAGGAAAAGAAGACCAGAAAAUAGAAGAGAUGGCAAAAAUCAGAGCCGAAGAAAGAGAUAACUAUGAUAAAGGAGCCAUCAAGAAAAAUGCUGGAACUGGGUGCAAGAGUACUAGAACGGGCAACAAAUGA